GGAAAUAUUUUCUGUAUUUUCUUAUCAUCUGCUUCUGACUGUGAUCUCUGUAUGAACACAAGCAGUUAAGUAAUUUGACUUCUCUGCUUUCAAUAGACUAUUUAUAAAGACACUCAUUAUCAUUCAUUAUCUACUUUUAAAUAUAAUUUUGAUAAUACAAGAAAACUUGCUUUAAUUAUUUCCUUUUCUAGGGAUUUUCUGCCCAGCUAAGAUCCAGAUGGAAUUUCACAUCAAAGAGACACUGAAGGAGACAAAGGAUGGAUGUUCUGCCCAUGCCUAUGUAAAAUAACAGUGAGUAUCAGAAAUAUGAGAAGGCUAUGCUUAUUGUACAUGAAUAAUUUGACAGCUACUGAGGAUGCCAUAACCAACAUUGUGAGAUAAAUCCCUGAUGAGCUAAGCGACCUUGAAGAAAUCUCACUAAGCAACUGCUGUAUCUCCAGAGAUGCUGUGGAAAUUCUGAGUAAAAAUAAUAAUAGUAAGUUUACAAAUGGAAUAUGUGUGUUUUGAAAAUCAAUACAUCAUUUUGUAACAGAAGGAAAAAACCCAUAUAAUUCUAUGGUUCUAAGU
rnacentral:lncRNA from 1 species